rfam:Cupriavidus basilensis strain 4G11 chromosome main, complete sequence.
AAAGCAGGCCAGACAAUCGCUGCUUGCACCCUCGUGGUGCAAGGGGAGGAAAGUCCGGACUCCAUAGGGCAGGGUGUUGGCUAAUAGCCAUCCACGGCAACGUGCGGAAUAGGGCCACAGAGACGAGUCUUGCCAUCGGGUUCGCCCGAUGGGAAGGGUGAAACGCGGUAACCUCCACCUGGAGCAAUCCCAAAUAGGCAGGCAUUGAGGCGGCCCGCUGAGCCUGCGGGUAGGGAGCUUGAGCCGGUCGGUAACGAUCGGCCUAGAGGAAUGAUUGUCACGUGCCGGUAACCGCAAGGAAGCCGGCGCGCACAGAAUCCGGCUUAUCGGCCUGCUUUGCUU